rnacentral:lncRNA from 1 species
AAAGUUUACAGCAUUAUUGCAUCACAUAAUUGUAAGUUUUAAGAAGGAAUCUUAAAUGUUGAUGAAGGGUCUGGAUUGGUGAGCAUCUCGUCACUCUCCACCACCAUUUCACAUAGAAUUUGCUGGAUUCUCCAAAUAAGCAUGCCUUCGAUGGGUCUAUUAGAUGGUUCUGGAGUCAUAUUUCAAUUUAUGCAAGUUUCUAACUGAAGAAGUUUAAUGUUUUUUAUACACUUUUUUUGCGGUUCGAUGUGGCUUCAAAUCACGAUUUUAGUGACAUAAAAGUAAUAUCUUUCACGUGAAAAAAAUAAAUAUAUUAAUCUGAAAUUUUAUUAUAAUGCUUUAAUUG